AACGCGAAGAACCUUACCAGGUCUUGACAUCCUCUGCUACUUCUAGAGAUAGAAGGUUCCCCUUCGGGGGACAGAGUGACAGGUGGUGCAUGGUUGUCGUCAGCUCGUGUCGUGAGAUGUUGGGUUAAGUCCCGUAACGAGCGCAACCCUUGACCUUAGUUGCCAGCAUUGAGUUGGGCACUCUAAGGUGACUGCCGGUGACAAACAGGGGGAAGGUGGGGAUGACGUCAAAUCAUCAUGCCCCUUAUGAUCUGGGCUACACACGUGCUACAAUGGACGGUACAGAGGGUUGCCAGACCGCGAGGUUUCGCCAAUCCCAAAAAGCCGUUCUCAGUUCGGAUUGCAGGCUGCAACUCGCCUGCAUGAAGCCGGAAUCGCUAGUAAUCGCGGAUCAGCAUGCCGCGGUGAAUACGUUCCCGGGCCUUGUACACACCG
rnacentral:rRNA from 1 species